rnacentral:rRNA from 1 species
GGUCAAGCUACAAAGGGCGCAUGGUGAAUGCCUUGGCAUCAGGAGCCGAUGAAGGACGUGAUAAGCUGCGAUAAGCUUCGGGUAGGCGCACAUAG